UAACCUAGAAGACAUCGACUUCACUCUCAGACAACGAUUCUCCUAAAAUCUCAAACACCCCUCUCUCUGUUCAUCAACCUAGAACACACCGACGAACUUUGUUGACCACUCCGGUGAAGGACGAUCAUUAUUGGCUAACAUACCACAAUCUCCGAGGAAAAUGAUAAGGAAACUUUGGAUCCUUUAUCAGCAAAGGAAGUCUUUGUAGCUACAAGAAAAAGAAAAGAUGGGCGAUCAUACAAGUGCUCGGAUGAAGAUACAACUAGUAAAAUUGCUGCAAUAGAGGAAAUUGAAGCAUAUCAAAAC